GUGAGGAAUAUUGCGCAAUGGAGGCAACUCUGACGCAGCCAUGCCGCGUGCAGGAAGAAGGCGCUACGCGUUGUAAACUGCUUUUAACCGGGAAGAAACCCCAGGACGUGUCCUGGGUUGACGGUACCGGAGGAAUAAGCACCGGCUAACUUCGUGCCAGCAGCCGCGGUAAUACGAAGGGUGCAAGCGUUAUCCGGAUUCAUUGGGUUUAAAGGGUGCGUAGGCGGAGCGUUAAGUCAGUGGUGAAAUCCUGCAGCUUAACUGUAGACUUGCCAUUGAUACUGGAGCUCUUGAGUGCGCUUGAAGUGGGCGGAAUGUGCCGUGUAGCGGUGAAAUGCUUAGAUAUGGCACAGAACACCAAUUGCGAAGGCAGCUCACUAAGGCGAUACUGACGCUGAGGCACGAAAGCGUGGGGAUCGAACAGGAUUAGAAACCCUUGUAGUCC
rnacentral:rRNA from 1 species